UACGUAGGAGACGAGCGUUGUCCGGAAUUACUGGGCGUAAAGCGCGUGUAGGCGGCUCUUCAAGUCAGGCGUGAAAGCCCCGGGCUCAACUCGGGAACUGCGCUUGAUACUGUCGAGCUAGAGUGUGGAAGGGGCGAUUGGAAUUCCGUGUGUAGCGGUGAAAUGCGUAGAUAUACGGAGGAACACCAGAGGCGAAGGCGGAUCGCUGGGCCAACACUGACGCUGAGACGCGAAAGCUAGGGUAGCAAACGGG
rnacentral:rRNA from 1 species